GAUGAAGAACGUAGCGAAAUGCGAUAAGUAAUGUGAAUUGCAGAAUUCAGUGAAUCAUCGAAUCUUUGAACGCACAUUGCGCCCGCCAGUAUUCUGGCGGGCAUGCCUGUCCGAGCGUCAUUUCAACCAUCAAGCCCCCGGGCUUGUGUUGGGGACCUGCGGCUGCCCGCAGGCCCUGAAAACCAGUGGCGGGCUCGCUGUCACACCGAGCGUAGUAGCAAUCACCUCGCUCAGGGCGUGCUGCGGGUUCCGGCCGUUAAACAGCCUUACAAACCCCAAUGUUGACCUCGGAUCAGGUAGGAAGACCCGCUGAACUUAAGCAUAUCAAUAAGCGGAGGA
rnacentral:misc_RNA from 1 species